AUUGAACGCUGGCGGCAGGCUUAACACAUGCAAGUCGAACGAGUGGCAGACGGGUGAGUAAUGCUUGGGAAUCUACCUUAUGGGGGGGGAUACCUACGGGAAACUGUAGCUAAUACCGCGUACCAUAGGAUGAGCCCAAGGGGGAGUAGGUAGUUGGUGAGGUAAAGGCUCACCAAGGCGACGAUCUCUAGCUGGUCUGAGAGGAUGACCAGCCACACUGGUACUGAGACACGGCCCAGACUCCUACGGGAGGCAGCAGUGGGGAAUAUCGCGCAAUGGGGGCAACCUGACGCAGCCAUGCCGCGUGAAUGAAGAAGGCCUUCGGGUUGUAAAGUUCUUUAGGUAGCGAGGCGUUAACUACAGAAGAAGCACCGGCUAACUCCGUGCCAGCAGCCGCGGUAAUUC
rnacentral:rRNA from 1 species